rnacentral:rRNA from 1 species
UACGAAGGGGGGCUAGCGUUGCUCGGAAUCACUGGGCGUAAAGAGCGUGUAGGCGGCUUUACAGGUCCGUUGUGAAAACUCGAGGCUCAACCUCGAGACGCCGGUGGAAACCGUAAGGCUAGAGUCCGGAAGAGGAGAGUGGAAUUCCUGGUGUAGCGGUGAAAUGCGUAGAUAUCAGGAGGAACACCGGUGGUGUAGACGGCUCUCUGGACCGUAACUGACGCUGAGACACGAAAGCGUGGGUAGCAAACAGG